AUUGAACGCUGGCGGCAUGCCUUACACAUGCAAGUCGAACGGCAGCACGGGAGCUUGCUCCUGGUGGCGAGUGGCGAACGGGUGAGUAAUACAUCGGAACGUACCCAGGAGUGGGGGAUAACGUAGCGAAAGUUACGCUAAUACCGCAUAUUCUGUGAGCAGGAAAGCGGGGGAUCGCAAGACCUCGCGCUCUUGGAGCGGCCGAUGUCGGAUUAGCUAGUUGGUGAGGUAAAAGCUCACCAAGGCGACGAUCCGUAGCAGGUCUGAGAGGAUGAUCUGCCACACUGGGACUGAGAGACGGCCCGGACUCCUACGGGAGGCAGCAGUGGGGAAUUUUGGACAAGGGGGGCAACCCUGAUCCAGCCAUGCCGCGUGAGUGAAGAAGGCCUUCGGGUUGUAAAGCUCUUUCGGCGGGGAAGAAAUGGCAACGGCUAAUAUCCGUUGUUGAUGACGGUACCCGCAUAAGAAGCACCGGCUAACUACGUGCCAGCAGCCGCAGUAA
rnacentral:rRNA from 1 species